UUUACAAGUUACAGCUUUCUCCUGGUUAAAUGAUCCGCGUGAUCAAGUCGGGCAUACUAGAGUUUUGAAUGUUUUAUAUUGUUCUGCUAUUGCUCUGGGACAUCAUCUCCUGUCAAUGGCCAAUACAACAGCCAAGGUUGUUGGUGCAGAAUUAUAAUGUAACAUGUCCAAAGUGUUCAAACAAGGGGGUAGACUAUCACACACAACAGACCAGAUCUGUUGAUGAUGGUCAGCCCAUGUUUUAUAAAUGUCCCAAUAAUAGC